AAGGCAAGGGCAAAGUGGAAAUAAUAUGGUACCUAAACUUGUAGACAAAUCUCAAAUUUGCUUUCCCUGAUGCCAUUGUUAGCUCAUAUGAUGGUGAAUAUAGGAUUUCUAUGGGUGUUGUUCAGAUGCUAUAAACCAUUCAACAGAUAGUUACAACCACAGAUAAUUCAAAUUAUUCAUUAUACUAAUUCAUUGCACCAUCAAAUAGAAAUUUGCUUAGCAGUACUAAAAAGACUUCAUUACUUGAAGAAGUAGAACAGUUUUAUUAGUUGUCAGAAUUGUUAUGCCAAGGCCAUGUAUCCUUUUUUUUUUAGGUAAGAGAAAGUGAAUAACAUUUCUUAAUAAGCAUGAGACUACACAGAGAUGUCCCUCAAGGGUUUUGGAAACAAAUAAAAUGAACUUGCCCAUGGAGAAGUAAAUUGUAAAAGCAACAACUAAUGGAUCAGAGAAGAGAUAAUGUCAAAGAUAUCUCCAGAUCAACCCAGAUCAAUUUUUGUAACUCACCAAAUGGCUUUGAGCACACUGUGGAAGAACACUGUUUUGGUGCUUGAUCUUGAAAAUGAACUGAAAACAAUGGUACUAUGCCUUCAUGGUGCAGGAAAUUUCAAUAACAGAGAAAGAAGUAACUGAAAACUGUACUCCUGAAGAAUUAUUUGGCAUUCCUGGGGUGCCCCAUGUAGGGAAAGUCAGUGCAUGGGAUGACAAAAGAAGCUCCUCACUAAAGUUUUGAAGCCUGUUUAUGCUGGAGGAAGAAAUGAGAAAUCAGUUGAGUAAAGAGAAUGUGAAAGC